rnacentral:rRNA from 1 species
CCUACGGGCUGCACCAGUGGGGAAUAUUGCACAAUGGGUGCAAGCCUGAUGCAGCCAUGCCGCGUGUAUGAAGAAGGCCUUCAGGUUGUAAAGUACUUUCAGCGGGGAGGAAGGUGUUGUGGUUAAUAACCACAGCAAUUGACGUUACCCGCAGAAGAAGCACCGGCUAACUCCCUGCCAGCAGCCGCGGUAAUACGGAGGGUGCAAGCGUUAAUCGGAAUUACUGGGCGUAAAGCGCACGCAGGCGGUCUGUCAAGUCGGAUGUGAAAUCCCCGGGCUCAACCUGGGAACUGCAUUCGAAACUGGCAGGCUAGAGUCUUGUAGAGGGGGGGUAGAAUUCCAGGUGUAGCGGUGAAAUGCGUAGAGAUCUGGAGGAGUACCGGUGGCGAAGGCGGCCCCCUGGACAAAGACUGACGCUCAGGUGCGAAAGCGUGGGGAGCAAACAGGAUUAGAUACCCCUGUAGUC